rnacentral:lncRNA from 1 species
UGGAGUUUGACAGAGAAGCACAAGUCAUCAUCGGAUAUCCUGUUUCUAAUAUGAAUGGGACACUUAAAGUGAAAGGUGACUGAAAGGCUAAGAAUGAAGGACCAGGCAAAGAUAUAACAGGCAGGAAGACAAAGCAACGAAGAAGAGAGAGGAAAACGAAUGAAAGGCAAGGCAGGUGCUGUGGUUUGAAUGAGUCUCCUCUGAUGUGUCCAUCUGUGGUGGUAUUGAGAGGUGGGGCCUUUAA